AGAGUUUGAUCCUGGCUCAGGAUGAACGCUGGCGGCAUGCCUAAUACAUGCAAGUCGAACGAAGCUGAUUGGAAGCUUGCUUCUGAAAGGCUUAGUGGCGAACGGGUGAGUAACACGUAGGGAACCUGCCCAGAUCACGGGGAUAACGGUUGGAAACGACAGCUAAGACCGGAUAGGUGAUGACGAGGCAUCUUGUCAUCAUGAAAAGAGCUACGGCUCUGGAGCUGGAUGGACCUGCGGCGCAUUAGCUAGUUGGUGAGGUAACGGCCCACCAAGGCAAUGAUGCGUAGCCGGCCUGAGAGGGCGAACGGCCACAUUGGGACUGAGACACGGCCCAAACUCCUACGGGAGGCAGCAGUAGGGAAUUUUCGUCAAUGGGGGCAACCCUGAACGAGCAAUGCCGCGUGAGUGAAGAAGGUCUUCGGAUCGUAAAGCUCUGUUGUAAGAGAAAAACGGCCGCCAUAGGGAAUGAUGGCGGAGUGAUGGUAUCUUACCAGAAAGCCACGGCUAACUACGUGCCAGCAGCCGCGGUAAUACGUAGGUGGCGAGCGUUAUCCGGAAUGAUUGGGCGUAAAGGGUGCGUAGGUGGCACGUUAAGUCUGGAGUAAAAGGGAGCGGCUCAACCGCUGUUGGCUCUGGAAACUGGCGAGCUAGAGUGCAGGAGAGGGCGAUGGAAUUCCAUGUGUAGCGGUAAAAUGCGUAGAUAUAUGGAGGAACACCGGUGGCGAAGGCGGUCGCCUGGCCUGCAACUGACACUGAAGCACGAAAGCGUGGGGAGCAAAUAGGAUUAGAUACCCUAGUAGUCCACGCCGUAA
rnacentral:rRNA from 1 species